AGUACGUCCCUUUUAACGCUAGCCUCGACUCCACUGAGUGCUACUCUCUCGACGAGAUCGUUUACCGAAGUCGAUCUGGUGGGUUACUCGACAUUCAACACGACAUGGAGGCAUUGAAGAAAUAUGACGGCGCCUAUUGGCGAAACCUCUUCGAUUCGCGCGUGGGGAAAACUACGUGGCCUUAUGGUUCCGGCGUUUGGAGUAAGAAGGAAUGGGUGUUGCCGGAGAUCGAUCCUGACGAUAUUGUCGGCGCUUUCAAAGUUAACAUGGAUGUGGACAAGACUUUUGUUCGAGAUUUGGACUACUGAAACACAACCGUGUCUGGCUAUGAGUUGAAUGAGGAAAAUAAACUGUACAAGUCCUCUGUGAUGGUUACAGCCGGUGCAAAUCAGGCAUUCGUUAACCUUGUUCUUACAUUGUGUGAUGCUGGGGAUUCUGUGGUUAUGUUUGCUCCGUAUUACUUCAAUGCCUACAUGUCUUUUCAAAUGACUGGUGUCACUAAUAUAUUGGUUGGUCCCAGUGACCCAAAAACACUUCAUCCUGAUCCAGAUAAUUGAAGUGAUAUCGGGUUGAAAGCUAAGCGAUUGUGUAGAAAUGGUCAAGCGACCGUUGAAAAUUGAAGACUGAGAAGGCAUUUAGGAUUUUUAAUUAUUUAAUUCUUGUAUUAGAAUUUUUUUUUCAUGUACUAUUGUAGAAAUGUAUAUAUAAACAUAAUAUUAAUAUUUUAUUUUGUGUAUUCAAAUGUAAAAGACAAAUGUUAUAGUUUCUAACAUAAUAUGAAUUUCAUUGAUUUGUUGGCGUGUGAAAAA